rnacentral:rRNA from 2 species
UUGAUCCUGGCUCAGGACGAACGCUGGCGGCGUGCCUAAUACAUGCAAGUCGAACGAGCUCUCCCAAAUUGAUUUUAUGCUUGCAUAAAUGAUUUUUGGAUUCGGAGCGAGUGGCGAACUGGUGAGUAACACGUGGGUAACCUGCCCCGAAGCGGGGGAUAACAUUUGGAAACAAAUGCUAAUACCGCAUAAUUAGUUGGAACCGCAUGGUUCCAACUUGAAAGAUGGCUCUGCUAUCACUUUGGGAUGGACCCGCGCCGUAUUAGUUAGUUGGUGAGAUAAAAGCCCACCAAGACGAUGAUACGUAGCCGACCUGAGAGGGUAAUCGGCCACAUUGGGACUGAGACACGGCCCAGACUCCUACGGGAGGCAGCAGUAGGGAAUCUUCCACAAUGGACGAAAGUCUGAUGGAGCAACGCCGCGUGAGUGAUGAAGGGUUUCGGCUCGUAAAACUCUGUUGUUAAAGAAGAACAAGUGUUAGAGUAACUGUUAACACUUUGACGGUAUUUAACCAGAAAGCCACGGCUAACUACGUG